rnacentral:rRNA from 1 species
UACGAAGGGGGCUAGCGUUGUUCGGAAUCACUGGGCUUAAAGGGCGCGUAGGCGGCCCGCCGCGUCCGGGGUGAAAUCCUCCCGCUCAACGGGAGAACGGCCUCGGAUACGGGCGGGCUGGAGGCGGGUAGGGGCAGGCGGAACUGUGGGUGGAGCGGUGAAAUGCGUUGAGAUCCACAGGAACUCCGGUGGCGAAGGCGGCCUGCUGGACCCGAUCUGACGCUGAGGCGCGAAAGCCAGGGGAGCGAACGGG